GACUCCCGCCUUCCACGGAAGGGACCGAGCCCGUGCCAAACAGGCUGAGCGAUUUGGGAGUGAGGAGCCAUCCUACCGCUUUCCCCAACCUGGAAACAGCAAAGCGCAAGGCCUCUGAGUCAGUUAGAGGUGGUUUGUGCUCCCCCUACUGCCUAUAUCGACUUCGCCCGGCAGAAGCUAGAUCCCAAGAUUGCUGUGGCUGCGCAGAACUGCUACAAAGUGACUAAUGGGGCUUUUACUGGGGAGAUCAGCCCUGGCAUGAUCAAAGACUGCGGAGCCACGUGGGUGGUCCUGGGGCACUCAGAGAGAAGGCAUGUCUUUGGGGAGUCAGAUGAGCUGAUUGGGCAGAAAGUGGCCCAUGCUCUGGCAGAGGG
rnacentral:lncRNA from 1 species